GAUGAACGCUGGCGGCGUGCCUAAUACAUGCAAGUCGAACGGAGAGCUAGCAAUAGUUCUUAGUGGCGAACGGGUGAGUAACGCGUUGGUGACCUGCCCCGAAACGGGGGAUAACAGUUCGAAAGGACUGCUAAUACCCCAUGUAGUCGUUUGGAUUAGAUGCCUUACGACUAAACGGAUUUAUUCGCUUCGGGAGGGGCCUGCGUCCCAUCAGCUAGUUGGUAAGGUAAUGGCUUACCAAGGCUAUGACGGGUAGGGGACCUGAGAGGGUGGCCCCCCACAAUGGAACUGAAACACGGUCCAUACACCUACGGGAGGCAG
rnacentral:rRNA from 1 species